CCUUUAUUACCCUUUGUGUCAUCCUCCACAGCUCCAGGGAAGGCACUCAAAAGUGGGGGGCAGGAAAGAUGCUUUUUGAGGAAAUCAGUUUCUACGUGUGGGAAGUAGAUAUUGAAGGUUAUAUGGUUUACAGACAAGAUCUUUAAAAUAUAGAUACUCAAGGACCAAGGAAAUAAAUACCAGAAGCCAAGAGCACAGAAUAUUUUCUUUCAUCAAUCCAUAGAACCCUGAUACUUCUCUAAUUCCAUCACACACAAAGUAAUGACCACCUUGGCAGAUGGCCACAGAGGAUGUCAACAGUUUUUUGGAGGCAAGCAAUGAAAUGUUUAUAUUAUGAGUUUUCUGUUGUUAAGUAUGUGGAAACAGGUAGUUUUAGCUUGCAUUUUAAUGAAG